rnacentral:rRNA from 1 species
AGCGGCGAGCGAACAGGGACGAGCCCAGCGCCGAAUCCCGCGGCCGACACCGGACGCCGGGAAAUGUGGUGUUAGGGAGGAUCCGCUAACCCGAGAUCGCGCGGCGCGUCCAAGUCCUUCUUGAACGGGGCCACUUACCCACAGAGGGUGCCAGGCCCGUAGCGGCCGCCGCCGAUCGCGGGUGGAUCUCUCCUCAGAGUCGGGUUGCUUGAGAGUGCAGCCCUAAGCGGAUGGUAAACUCCAUCUAAGGCUAAAUAUAACCACGAGACCGAUAGCGAACAAGUACCGUGAGGGAAAGUUGAAAAGAACUUUGAAGAGAGAGUUCAAUAGUACGUGAAACCGUUCAGGGGUAAACCUGAGAAAUCCGAAAGGUCGAAUGGGGACAUUCAGCGCGUCUCGCGGCGCGGCGAGCUCGGAGUGUGCGACGGAAGGUCCUUCGGGUCCGACCGCGUCCCUUCCGAGCCGAGACCGACCGCGAACGCGUGCACUUCUCCCCUAGUAGGACGUCGCGACCCGUUGGGUGCCGGUCUAAGGGCCGCGGUGGAGCCCUCGGGGGCACGUCUCGCGACGUGUCCUCGCGGACCCGCGGACUUCCGACCCGCCCGCUCGACGGUACGAAGGUGGCGUUGGGUCGCUCGACAAUUUGUUCGGCGCCCGGCCUGUCGCAAGCGCUAGCGUUCGCAUCCGUCGUCGGACCUGUGUGCCGACACGGGGCGCGCCAGGCUGUUGGCGACAGUGUCCUCGGGCGGACCCGCCAACACACACACUAACACUGUGUGUGACACGCCCGUCGGCGACGCUUUAGCUUUGGAUACUUUCAGGACCCGUCUUGAAACACGGACCAAGGAGUCUAGCAUGUGCGCGAGUCAUUGGGACUUCGACUAAACCUAAAGGCGUAAUGAAAGUGAAGGCCGCCCUAGCGCGUGCCGAGGGAGGAACGGUCGGACCUUGCGUCCGCUCCGUGCACUCCCGGGGCGUCUCGUGCUCAUCGCGAGUUGAGGCGCACCC